rnacentral:rRNA from 1 species
AGUGAACGCUGGCGGCGUGCCUAAUACAUGCAAGUCGAACGGAGUGGCGCACGGGUGAGUAAUAUAUAGCUAAUCUGCCCCUUGCUGGAGGACAACAGUUAGAAAUGACUGCUAAUACUCCAUAGCAAGGGAUGAGACUAUAUCGUAUCAGCUAGUCGGUGGGGUAACGACCUACCGAGGCUAUGACGUGUAACUGGUCUGAGAGGAUGAUCAGUGACAUUGGAACUGAGACACGGUACAAACUCCUACGGGAGGGAGCAGUAGGGAAUAUUGCGACAGGGGGGAAACCCUGACGCAGCAACGCCGCGUGGAGGAUGAUACUUUGCGGAGCGUAAACUCCUUUUGGUAGGGAAGCGGUACCUAACGAAUAAGCAACGGCUAACUCCGUGCCAGCCGCCGCGGUAAUUC